UACGUAGGGUGCAAGCGUUGUCCGGAAUUAUUGGGCGUAAAGAGCUCGUAGGCGGUUUGUUGCGUCGGCUGUGAAAUCCCGAGGCUCAACCUCGGGUCUGCAGUCGAUACGAGCAAACUAGAGUGUUGCAGGGGAGACUGGAAUUCCUGGUGUAGCGGUGAAAUGACGCAGAUAUCAGGAGGAACACCGGUGGCGAAGGCGGGUCUCUGGGCCGAUACUGACGCUGGAGGAGCGAAAGCGUGGGAGCGAACAGG
rnacentral:rRNA from 1 species